rnacentral:rRNA from 1 species
AUUGAACGCUAGCGGCAUGCCUAACACAUGCAAGUCGAACGAGCGGCGGACGGGUGAGUAAUGUAUUGGAAUGUGCCUAAUAGAGGGGGAUAACUACUGGAAACGGUGGCUCAUACCGCAUACUAUCGGAUCGUCCCAUAUCGGAUUAGCUAGUAGGCGGGGUAAAGGCUCACCAAGGCACAGAGCCCUAGCUGGUUUGAGAGGAUGACCAGCCACACUGGGACUGAGAUACGGACCAGACUCCUACGGGAGGCAGCAGUGGGGAAUAUUGCACAAUGGGGGCAAGCCUGAUGCAGCCAUGCCGCGUGUAUGAAGAAGGCAUUCGGGUUGUAAAGUACUUUUGGCAGGGAGGCGGUAACUGCAGAAGAAGCACCGGCUAACUACGGGCCAGCAGCCGCGGUAAUAC